UUUUAAUCACUCGCUCGGCUCGUGAGGGAGCCUGGUGGGGAAUACGCGUCGGCGUCGCCUUGCCCUAGAGCCAGACGCAGCGACCACUCGGCGGUGGAUCUCUCUCUCUCUCUCACGGUCAUUAAUUUUUUCUCUUCUCAUCCGCUUUCUACUCCUCUUAAUUUGCUUAUUGUUUUUGGUGCUUGAUUCGAUCUGUUACGGUUGUGUUCGUUGUUGGUGGAUCCCGGCGAUCGCCAGGGGGGCGUGACCCAGGUUGACAGAAGAGAGUGAGCACGCGGCGGGGAGGGCAUCGGCGGAGGUGCCGUCGCUGUGGCGUGCUCACCCCUCUCUCUGUCAUCCCCAUCUCCCCUCGUCGGCGGCUGAAACGAAUCAAAGACCUCGUCUUUGGUUCCCUUUUUUUUGCGUCGGAUCGAUCACGAUGAACUAUAUGAGGGGCAGGGCAUCAUCUCAGGACGAUGACGAUGGACACGCGUGUGAUGGACUCAGCUGUCGCUGAUCUUAUGUCGGCCACUUGUUCCUCUGUAGUCGAGACUUACCUCUGGGUUAGUAAGCGUUUCCGAGGCAAGUUGAGUGAGAAGGAAGCGCAUGGAAGCGGUGCUUUAUGUUCAUUUGCCCCUUCUAUCUCUUGAGGUUGAAAUCUGUGGUUCAUAUAUGAGGAGAUGCUAUAGAGAUAUCAUGUCACAACCAUUUAUGCCGAGUCAAUACGAAGCUUGUAGAGGUUGCGACAAGUAAUUAAAGCAUAAUUGUGAUCUAGCUAGACUAAACUAAACUGGAUAGAUUCUAUUUGAGUGGUUUUCUGUACCUGGAUAUGGAACAAGAUUAAACUAAAAAUAAUCACUAAUUAAUCAAAGAGCAAGUAGUCUUUAGAAAACCGCUACUGGUUUAAGUCCGUUUUAAUUAUGCUAGCUAUGGCCUGUGGGGAAGACAACGAUAUGAGCCUCGCCAAAGUCCUGUACAACAACGAUGUAGUGCCUAUAUAUUUAUAGUAAGAAAGGGACGUAAAGGGUUAUAAUCCGAGAACAGUAAGUCUAAUUCUAAAUGUAGUGAGGUCCAGAUAACUAGUAAAUCUAUUAUUUUCUUUUUAAAAAAUAAUAGCAAAGCAUUCUUUGUCGACAUCGCCAACACCAUCAUAUACAGAAAGACAUUUGAAGAGCUUGGAAGGAGAUUUAUGCCCUGAAAUUAUUUUGGGAUUUAUUUAGCUAGUGUUAUAUGCUUUAUUGAAUUCAAGGGGACUUCUUUGGUGAUGGGAUAUAUUAAUUUGGUUAUGCUUGUUAUAGGAAAACCCAAGAUUUUUCCGAUUAUAGCUACUUUAAUUGGUUAACAUGGAGGAUAGAAACUUGUAAGCUACAAGAAAAAUAUUAUUUAGCAACGACAAAUUUCGCCAUUAACACAUCUAUAUUUGUCGCUAAUAACAUUUAGCGGUGAAUAAUUAUCAUCAUCGUUAUAAACUUGUUGUGAACCAUAUUUUGAUAGCAUAAGCAUUGCUAAGAUUACCACAAUUGCCUUUAAAAUAUACAAAGGUAAGCAACUAAUGAUGCGUAUUUCAUCGCAAAAUACAAUCACAUUAAUGAAAAAUUACAAGUAAUUCAUCACUAAAUAAUACUUGCUAAAUAAAACCCUAGUUAGCGAUGAAUUUAUGUUAAUUCAUCGUAAAACCAUAUAUUUAUUAGCAACAAAUUCCUUAGAAUUCAUCGCUAAGUAUAUAUUUGUUAAAACAAAAUUUUGUUUAUUUAUAUUCAUAUUCUAUAUACAAAUUUACAACUUGCAAAUAAACUCACAACAUUCACAAAAUUUACAACUCACAACAUUUACAAAUUUACAACUAAAAUUUACAAUAUUCACAAAACAUCAUCAAGUUCACAACAUAAACAUCAUCAAGUUCACAACAUAAACAUCAUCAAGUUCACAAGCAACAAGUAGCAACACAACAAAUAAAGUUCGCCACAUCAAGUUCACAUCCAAAUUUACAACUUUAACAAGUAAGUUCACAGCAUCAAAUUCUAAGGUCGAGGAGGAGGAGGUGGAUGUAAUGCUCCAUGUGUCAAUCAGUUAAGAAUUUAUUCAAACAUAUCUUGUCUUGAUCUCAUUAAUUCCAACUGAUCUUGAGAACUUGCUAAUCAAACUUGAGUGUUUGCCAACUCUUCUUUUGUGUC